AAAUAUUUGUUAAAAAAAAAAGAAACGGAAAUACCGUAACGUUUCCGAUUUUGGUUCUGUUGUUAGGGAUUUUAGUUGUGACGUUAUUUAAAUUAUGACGUCAUAUGCAAUGUAAACAAAGAAACGCUAUCAUCAGGUAACGUUUUUUCAUAUCAAGGAAUUAUUAAAAAUGAAAUUGGUAUUGCGCGUUCCUUCCUAUUUUAUACUAGACUGAUAAAUAUAUAUUUUACUCAAAGUUUCAUACAAACGAGACCGGAAAAAGGAAGUACAUUGUACAUUUCUGCGCAGGUCCGGGAUUUCAAAACACGACAAAAAAAAA
rnacentral:lncRNA from 1 species